rnacentral:SRP_RNA from 1 species
GCUGGGCGUGGUGGCGCACGCCUGUAAUCCUAGCACUUGGGAGGCUGAGGCAGGAGGAUCACUGUGAGUCCAAGACCCGCCUGGGCUCCAGUGAGCUCAAGGCCAGCCUGGACUACAUAGGGAGAUCCUGUCUCCA